UUGUCGUUUGAUGGGGACAUGUAGGGAACCUUCCUGUAUUGCAUCAAAUUUAGCCAAAACCUUAGUGAUACCCAAACACAAACCAUUCUCAAUAUUCAGCAAGCUUUUGGUGAUGAUGCCAUGAAUGUAACACAAAUAAAAGAGGGAUAUAAGCACUUCAAAAAUGAACGUACAUCAGUGGAGAGCAACGCACGUUGCGGUAGGCCAUCCACAAGCCGAAAUGACCAAGUGAUUGACAGAAUACGGACUUUGGUCUUGGAUGACUAACGUGUCACAUCCGAGAACUUGUGGACAAGGUGGGGGAUAAACACUGGUUCGGUACGUUCCAUUUUGAUGGAGGAUUUGAAUGUGCGAAGAGCGUGGGCGAAAUCUGCGCCAAAGCUACUAACAGCACAGCAGAAACAACUGCGUCCGUAAGUCUCACAGUACAUGCUGGAAUGCACAGACGGUGACCCCAACUUCCUGAACACUGUAAUCACCGGUGAUGAGACAUGACAUGAGUUUAUGGAUGCAACCUGGAAACCAAAUCUCAGUAAAUUUCAAUUACAUUUCAUAUCUGUUGCACCUGAGUAUAAGUUGCAGGACCUCCAAAAUGAGU